rnacentral:rRNA from 1 species
AGGACGAACGCUGCGGCGUGCUUAACACAUGCAAGUCGAACGGUAAGGCCCCUUCGGGGGUACACGAGUGGCGAACGGGUGAGUAACACGUGGGUAAUCUGCCCUGCACUUCGGGAUAAGCCUGGGAAACUGGGUCUAAUACCGGAUAUGAACUCCUGCCGCAUGGUGGGGGUUGGAAAGUUUUUCGGUGCAGGAUGAGCCCGCGGCCUAUCAGCUUGUUGGUGGGGUAAUGGCCUACCAAGGCGACGACGGGUAGCCGGCCUGAGAGGGUGAUCGGCCACACUGGGACUGAGACACGGCCCAGUACUCCUACGGGAGGCAGCAGUGGGGAAUAUUGCACAAUGGGCUGAAAGCACUGAUGCAGCGACGCCGCGUGGGGGAUGACGGUCUUCGGAUUGUAAACCCCUUUCAGUAGGGACGAAGCGCAAGUGACGGUACCUGCAGAAGAAGCACCGGCUAACUACGUGCCAGCAGCCGCGGUAAUACGUAGGGUGCGAGCGUUGUCCGGAAUUACUGGGCGUAAAGAGCUCGUAGGCGGU